rnacentral:rRNA from 1 species
UGAGGAGCACGCCGCGUGAGCGAGAAGGUCUUCGGAUCGUAAAGCUCUGUUGUCAGGGAAGAACAAGUGCAGUAGUAACUGGCUGCACCCUGACGGUACCUUACUAGAAAGCCACGGCUAAAUACGUGCCAGCAGCCGCGGUAAUUAAGGUA